ACGUAGGGGGCGAGCGUUGUCCGGAUUUAUUGGGCGUAAAGAGCUCGUAGGCGGUUCACUAAGUCGGGUGUGAAACCUCCAGGCUCAACCUGGAGACGCCACCUGAUACUGGUGUGACUAGAGUCCGGUAGGGGAGUGUGGAACUCCUGGUGUAGCGGUGAAAUGCGCAGAUAUCAGGAAGAACACCAGCGGCGAAGGCGGCACUCUGGGCCGGUACUGACGCUGAGGAGCGAAAGCGUGGGUAGCAAACAGGAUUAGAUACCCUGGUAGUCCACGCCGUAAACGUUGGGCACUAGGUGUGGGUCUCAACCAACGAGAUCCGUGCCGCAGCUAACGCAUUAAGUGCCCCGCCUGGGGAGUACGGCCGCAAGGCUA
rnacentral:rRNA from 1 species